UUCGCAAUGCCCGAAAGGGUGACGAAGCGACGCCGCGUGUGGGAAGAAGGCCUUCGGGUUGUAAACCACUGUCGGGAGUUAAGAAAUGCAAGGAUAUUAAUAGUGCCUUUGCUUGACUAAGGCUCCGGAGGAAGCCACGGCUAACUCUGUGCCAGCAGCCGCGGUAAUACAGAGGCGGCAAGCGUUGUUCGGAAUUAUUGGGCGUAAAGAGCACGUAGGCGGCUAUGUAAGUCGGUUGUGAAAGCCUUCCGCUCAACAGGAGAACAGCAUCCGAUACUACAUGGCUUGAGUGCGGGAGGGGAGAGUGGAACUUCUGGUGGAGCGGUGAAAUGCGUAGAUAUCAGAAGGAACGCCGGCGGCGAAAGCGGCUCUCUGGCCCAUAACUGACGCUGAGUGUGCGAAAGCUAGGGGAGCAAACGGGAUUAGAUACCCCGGUAGUCCUAGCCGUAAACGAUGGGCACUAAGUAGAGGGGUUUUA
rnacentral:rRNA from 1 species